rnacentral:rRNA from 1 species
UACGUAGGCAGCGAGCGUUGUUCGGAGUUACUGGGCGUAAAGGGUGUGUAGGCGGUCUUCUAAGUCUGGUGUGAAAUCUCCCGGCUCAACUGGGAGGGUGCGCCGGAAACUGGGAGGCUAGAGUGUGGGAUGGGAGAGUGGAAUUCCUGGUAUAGCGGUGAAAUGCGUAGAUAUCAGGAGGAACACCUGUGGUGUAGACGGCUCUCUGGACCGCAACUGACGCUGAGACACGAAAGCGUGGGUAGCAAACAGG